CUGUUCAUCAAUUCCCCGCUGAUAAAUUUGCUGAUGUUUAGUUGUUUGAACAAGACAUGCAUCAGAACAGUCUCAUUCCUGCUGUGAGAUGGCUGAUAAAAUGUUGGAACCUCGAGAACGCCUAUCGGAUUGCUUUCAAAUAAAAUCCCAAGCACUGAGGAACCGUAUCUGAUUCCAAACUUGUUGGGGUUUUGCGUGACAAACAUCAAGGAAACCACUGAUGAAGAGUCAUUUCCUUCCUUGCCAGAGAUUGCAUCCAGCUUGAGAGAACCCAAUUGUAUGGCAUGCAGAUGGAAGAUCGGCUUCUUUGGUUUUAGGACAAAUAUUAUGACUAGAAUUGCUGCAGUUAAUAUUGCUAGGCUGAAGAGAAGGGAAGAAAGGACGCAACACCACUUUCCAGGAGGAAAACUUGGAUUAUGAGUCUCCAUGCUGCUUGGGUAGUGAGCCUCUAUGAUCUCAAAUGGUUGUCGAUUUGGUGCGUCCAUUCUCACAAAUCUUCUCCUCCUUUCUUGUUCUCCUUUAGCUUUUAGUUUGUGAAGCAUAGAAUGCUAUGAAUCCAUAGAGAAAUUGUGCAAUGAGGCAGGAGGGCUGAGUUAUAUACUAAUUUCAAGCAUUAAAGGAGACGGCCGGGCUUUCCCUUGGUAAUAAGCCUCGUGCAAGUACCUCUUGCCUUUAUUCCUUUCUUAAAAGUUGCCUCUUGAGCCCCUUUAAGUGGUAUCUCCCCGGAAACCGAUGGCUUCUGCUGCUGGACUUCUUCCUUCCAAAGCUUGAUGGUGGCCUGCCGGGGCUCCGCCGCCUCCCCCGCUCCCACCGCGGCUUCUCUCCGAUAUCUGCGAGGUGUCAGAUCCUAUCAUUAGAAUGAUAGAAUGAGCAGGUUGCAGUCGAUACAAAUCAUUGUUUGUAUUGAUAAAAUGGCAUGUAUAUCAAGACACUUAUAAUUGCAUGUAUCUGAAUAAGUCUGCUAAAAUUACAUAUAUAUUGACAAUAUUCAUUAAUUGACGUGCCAAUCAACCACUGCACACCAAUUACAUA